UUUAACAAAAAUUGAUCAAGGCCAACACUAGAACGCAACACAGCUAAUUCCGGCGGCUAUGGCGCACCGUCUCCUCGCUUCUGGUGCCCACCGCCACCUCAAGUCUCUUGCUUCCUCUUCAUCUGUCUCCUCUCGAUCCUACAUCUCUGAGAUGCGCCACUCCGCCUUCAGGGAGAAACUCCUCCGUAUCCUCCGCACCGAGAUUGCCUACGAGGGUGAGUCGCGACCGGCCCUUAAUCCAGCGGUAGAUUUUGGGCCUUUUAAUGUAGACCAUCGUCCCGGCGAGAAGUGGAUCCAGCUUCGACGGAGCUACGGCCGGGAGGAUAUCAAAAUCGACGCUACCAUGUUCGAUGGCGCUGCUCCAUCCACUCGCUCGGCUGCGGCAGCAGGGGAGGCUGACCCCAGCGACGCCCGCCUCCACAUCAGCCUCAUGGUCGAGGUAUCCAAGGGCGAUGCAUCCGAGUUCGUCCUCCAGUUCUCUUGCUCCGCGUGGCCUGACGAUCUUGAGGUGGAUAACUUCUUUCCCGUCCGCCAUGGCAAUGUUGCACUUAAGCAGUAUAUGGGUCUUAAUUUCAGGGAGUUGGAUGAAGAGGUGCAAGAUGCGGUUCGAGAGUACCUGGAGAAGAGAGGGGUUAACGAGGAACUUGCAGUGUUUUUGCAUGGUUAUAUGGCCAACAAGGACAGGACUGAGCUGCUCCGGUGGCUGAGUAACAUUGAGAAUUUUGUCAAAAAACAGGCGUAGCGCAGGCGGUGGGCGUAGUGCAGGCGGUGGGCGCAUGGUAUUUCUGGCGUAAUGGCCAGGGGUCGAUUCUCAGGAACUGACGAUCUGGGGUUUACCCCGCCAUGCGCCUAUGGCCUGUGUACCUGCAUGAACCUCCCUCCAUAUCCGUGGGGCCGGCAAUAGGGGGGCCGUUAAGGAAUUCUGGAGAAAUGAAUUGGCGGAAGAUGCGGAGGAUAUAGAUGAACGAAGAAUGCUCCAACUAUAUGAGCAGCGACAAACGGUACAUCAAAGAGCUCAAAGUUCUUCCAGUAGAACACAGAGGAGAAGGUAUUUGAAUCGGGAUCGUGAAGUUGGGCAUGCUCGUCUUUUCAAUGAUUACUUUUCUGAUGAUCCGGUAUAUCCUGAUGAAAUAUUUCGACGUCGAUUUCGAAUGAAAAAAGAGUUAUUCCUUCGUAUAGUUGAUGCCGUGAAAAAUCAUUCCGAAUAUUUUCAAUGGAAGGUCGAUGCAGCAGGGAAAAAAGGUUUGUCACCACUUCAGAAAUGCACAGCGGCUAUUCGUCAAUUGGCGUAUGGAGCCCCUGCUGAUCAUUAUGAUGAGUAUCUACGGAUUGCUGAAACAACUGCCAUCCAAUGUUUAUUCAACUUUUGCCGAUGUGUAAUUGAAGUGUUUGGUGCCCAAUAUUUAAGAAAACCUAAUGCUGCUGAUAUCCAACACUUGCUUGAAAUGCAUGAGCAGAGACAUGGUUUCCCUGGCAUGUUGGGCAGUCUUGAUUGUAUGCAUUGGCAAUGGAAAAAUUGCCCCGUCGCUUGGAAAGGUCAGUUUACUCGAGGAGAUCAUGGCGUCCCAACAAUUGUGCUCGAAGCCGUUGCAUCUUCGG